GGUUGAUCCUGCCAGUAGUCAUAUGCUUGUGUUAAAGAUUAAGCCAUGCAUGCCUAAGUAUAAACUAUAUUAUGGUAAAACUGCGGACGGCUCCAUAGAUCAGUAAUUGUUCGUUAGGUGAUAAAUUUGUACUUGGAUAACCCUGUUAAUUGUAGAGCUAAUACAUGCAUUAACGACUUGAUUAGGAGACUAAAAGAGUCGCACUUGUCUUAAUUUUAUAAAGCCUUUGGACCAUAGAAUGAUUCAAUGUGAUAGGGGAGGGCCCUAAAUGGAAUAUAUAAUGAUACUAAAA
rnacentral:rRNA from 1 species